GAAAAGUUAACAUAAACAAACGAAUAGCCAAAUAAUAUGAAAAUACAAUUAAUCCAAUAUUAGUGGAACUUGAAUCUAAAAUCAAGGGGUCUCAGGGCUUACACCUUUACUAACUUCAUCAACACUAGAUCAAGACUUCAUUAGCUACAUAUUUUGCCGGAUUAAAAUAACCAAAUUAAGAGACAUAAGUGAUUGAUUGCGUUGAUUUUAAAAACAAAACGCUUAACACAUUCAUCCAAGAUUUUUUUCAUGUCCUCUGAGGGAAAGCGGCAGUGCAUGCACGAGAGCCGACACAAGCAACCCACUAUUAUUUUGAAAACAAGAGAAACCCAACAAAAGCUCAGGCCACAAAGCAUAAAAGAUAUAAGAUAACAAGAAAGGGCCAACAAUAAAAACCAGAGACAAGAAGAAAAAAAAAACAAUAUGAAACUUCUGCUUAUUAAUAAAGACAGGCCUUUGUUAGCUCCUGGCUUUAAGGAUAAAAACACCUAACUUAUAUCCUAAACUCUUGCUUCUGCUAAAUAAAAUAAUACUCAGAAAGUCACUGGGACAUUACAUAAAUCAUAUGUAAUUAUUUCUAGAAUGGAGACUAAACAUAAACAAACCGACCAAAAAUAAGAAAUUGAUGCAUUACCACGCCAUUGAGCAAUUCAACUCAAACUAGGAGUUUUUUAUAUGCCAGCAGUCUCCUUACAGAAAAAUGAGCUAAAUAAUCAAAAUAUGCUUCCUUUAUUGUUAUCAAUUUCACGUUCCACUAAAAUGGUAAAUUACUUAAAUUGAAGCUGGACUCAUAAAAUAGGACAGGGAAGCAGCUUAAAAAGAGAUUGGAGGUUUAUAACUUCAAAAAUUGAACAAUUGCUCUGCAUUUAGUGUAGUUAGAAGCAAUAUGUUUCCUGUGAAAUUAGUGAUAAAGAGAAAAGACCAAAAGAAUACUUGGGUACAACUCCAGGAAAUUCCAUUCACAAUAUUCCUUGAGACCCUAGUGAGCUCUACAUAACCACUUUGCAAAAGAAAGAAAAAAUUUUCUAAAUGUUCAAUUCUACCCCACAUCCCCACUUAGUUUGCAGGCCAAAUUAAUAAAUCUACAGAGGCAUGUGAACCAAGGCAUGCUUUUCAUUGAAACUUACAACAUUUUCUCAUACAUAAAUACAUAAAGUCAUCAACAUUAUCAUUGAUCCAAGGAAAUGCCAUAUGGUACCCAAAAACAAUUUGCAGAUCUGACAACAAUAAAGUUCAUGUUAUGACUAUACAACCAUUAUGACCCAAAGCCCAAUUCAUUCAGUGGAUGUAUUGGCAGACCUUAAUAGAAUGUAAUAGAUAAAAUUUCUGAUUCCUCACUCCAUUGCAUUGGUAUUCAAUUGUGAUUCAUUAAGGUCUACCAACAUGUUAAAGAUCAGAUCUGAAAUAA
rnacentral:misc_RNA from 1 species